rnacentral:rRNA from 1 species
GACGAACGCUGGCGGCGUGCUUAACACAUGCAAGUCGAACGGAAAGGCCCUGCUUUUGUGGGGUGCUCGAGUGGCGAACGGGUGAGUAACACGUGAGUAACCUGCCCUUGACUUUGGGAUAACUUCAGGAAACUGGGGCUAAUACCGGAUAGGAGCUCCUGCUGCAUGGUGGGGGUUGGAAAGUUUCGGCGGUUGGGGAUGGACUCGCGGCUUAUCAGCUUGUUGGUGGGGUAGUGGCUUACCAAGGCUUUGACGGGUAGCCGGCCUGAGAGGGUGACCGGCCACAUUGGGACUGAGAUACGGGCCCAGACUCCUACGGGAGGCAGCAGUGGGGAAUAUUGCACAAUGGGCGGAAGCCUGAUGCAGCAACGCCGCGUGCGGGAUGAC